CUCUUCUACUCGGGACUUAAUUUCCUUCAAGACUGCAGUCACACUGAGGCAUAAGAUGCUCUGGCUGAGGACAGGGAUGAACCUGAAGGCUUAUUGAGAUUUACUUAUUUUGUGGACCUUUUGUACUUGCUAGGCAAGCAUCUACCACUAACUCACAUCCUCAACCCAUGCCUAAAGUGGAAAGUUCUGGUUUCUUUGGCGGCUCAGUUGUGUCAUGUGAUGUUUUUCUGGAAACUGUCUUAUGUGGAAGGGUUUUGCCGAGGACAUGUGGUGUUUUUCUGGAAGCUGACUGGGAAAAGGGCAUGUGUUUUGCUAGAGCAGAUACUUAAGAGGACACAUGCUGAACGUCAACAUGAUGUGUCGGUCUCGUUUCGGCUUUACUGCAAACCGUUUUCCACACAAGCAAGCAAAGCACUUCCCAUCUGCAGGGGGUGUCCCUCCUAGCUUCACAGGCCCAUGCAUAGCCUGCCCUGUUCCUCCAGGUCCUCCAUCCCCUGACAGGAUUUCAUUCCCAUGAAGAUCCACUGGUUUCCACGAUGGAUCUCCUGCCCCAGACGAUUCCCCUCCUCCUGAGGACAGCAAGUAUCUCAGCUCCUCCUUCUCCUCAGAGUCCUCUCCAGAUAGUACUUUG
rnacentral:lncRNA from 1 species